GAACUUGUUGGUUUUAAACUGGCUGAAAUGGGCCAAUUUAGCUUUGACCAAGCAGUACCUCUCAUGGCUUCAAAGCAUGAUCUUCAUGGAUGGAUGUUGACAGUUGACGCCCCUUUUCUGUUGACUGCUAAAGACUAAAGAGCACUUCCCCUCUUGCAAUAAAAAAAUCAGGACAAGAAAUGGAUGCAAGAAUGCAAAUAGCACUUCCCCUACCAGGAACUGUAGCUGCUGAUGCCGCCGCCGCCGCCGCCUCUGCUGUAAACUUUUCUGAGCUUAGAGAGAAAUCGCUUAGAGAUUUGGAUGAGCAUGAAGAUGGACGGUUCGAGUCAUCUCUAAGUUCAAGGAAAAUUAAAGGAGAGCAAGAAGAAAGGCUGAAAAAGAAGACAAGAAUUGAUCACACAAGGAAAAGGAUCAAGCAGACAGUUUGGUACGAUGAUUACUUUUUAUUUUUUUUUCUAACCAUGUAUAAAAAAAACUGCUUGAAUAAUUAAAUAGCUUUUUAUUUA